UACGGAGGGGCUAGCGUUGUUCGGAAUUACUGGGCGUAAAGCGCACGUAGGCGGCUUUGUAAGUUAGAGGUGAAAGCCCGGGGCUCAACUCCGGAAUUGCCUUUAAGACUGCAUCGCUAGAAUUGUGGAGAGGUGAGUGGAAUUCCGAGUGUAGAGGUGAAAUUCGUAGAUAUUCGGAAGAACACCAGUGGCGAAGGCGACUCACUGGACACAUAUUGACGCUGAGGUGCGAAAGCGUGGGGAGCAAACAGG
rnacentral:rRNA from 1 species